rnacentral:lncRNA from 1 species
UGUCUGUCUAUAACUAAAAAAAGUAAAUAUUAAAAAAAAGAGGGGGGGCGCUGGAGUUGUGGCUCAGAGAUAGAGUACUUGCUUAGUAUGUGCGAGGCCCUGGGUUCGAUCCUCAGCACCAAAUAAAAGUAAAUAAAAUAAAGGUAUUAUGUCCACCUACAACUAAAAAACAAAUAUUUUUUUUAAAAAAAAGGACUGAGGAUGUAGCUCAGUGAUAAAGCACCCCUGGGUUUAAUCCUCAGUAACACACACACACACACACACACACACAAAAUGGGUCUUAUUUAUCAUACUGUGUUCCUAGUACCUAGUACCUAUACCAUGAUUAUGUGUGUGUGUUUUUUGUUUGUUUGUUUUUUUGUAGUAGUUUUGGUACCACGGAUUGAACCCAGGGGUGCUUAACUGCUGUGCCACAUCCCUAGCCCUUUUAUUUUUUAAAAUAUAUUUUAUUUAUAGACAAGUUCUAGUUGAGUUACUUAGGGCCUCACUAAGUUGCUGAGGCUGGUUUUGAACUCACUAUCCUCCUGCCUCGGCCUCCCAAGCUACUGGGAUUAUAGGCAGGCCCCACUGCGCCCAACGAUUAUGUUUGUUUAUUUUAUUUUGUUGCAGAGCUAGGGAUCAGACUCAGAGCCACAUACAUAUUAAGCAAGUACUCUACUACCAAAUUGCAUCCCCAGCCCAUUUUUAAAUUUUAAUUUGAGACAAUCUUGCUAAAUUGCCCAGGCUGGCCUCAAACUUGGCGAUCUUCCUGCUUUAACCUCCCAAGAAACUGGAAUUACAGACAUGGGCCACUACGCCCUGCUACUAGGAAAGACUUCUUGAAGAAGAUGAGCCUCUAAUGGUUAUGGAGGUCAAAGGAAC